rnacentral:rRNA from 1 species
UACGUAGGGGGCAAGCGUUGUCCGGAUUCAUUGGGCGUAAAGAGCGUGUAGGCGGCCAGGUAGGUCGGUUGUGAAAACUGGAGGCUCAACCUUCAGAGGUCGACCGAAACCAUCUGGCUAGAGUCCGGGAGAGGAGAGUGGAAUUCCUGGUGUAGCGGUGAAAUGCGCAGAUAUCAGGAAGAACACCCGUGGCGAAAGCGGCUCUCUGGAACGGUACUGACGCUGAGACGCGAAAGCGUGGGGAUCAAACAGG